rnacentral:rRNA from 1 species
UACGGGGGGGGCAAGCGUUGUCCGGAAUUACUGGGCGUAAAGGGCUUGUAGGUGGCCAACUAAGUCAGACGUGAAAUCCCUCAGCUUAACUGGGGAACUGCGUCUGAUACUGGAUGGCUUGAGAUUGGGAGAGGGACGCGGAAUUCCAGGUGUAGCGGUGAAAUGCGUAGAUAUCUGGAGGAACACCGGUGGCGAAGGCGGCGUCCUGGACCAACACUGACACUGAAAAGCGAAAGCCAGGGGAGCAAACGGG